CCUCCCAAAGUGCUGGGAUUACAGGCAUGAGCCACCGCACCCGGCCAGCCUUUGCUUUUUUAAAGUUGGUUUUCCUUUAUUUCCACAAGACCCAGGAACGAAAGCGCAGGGAGCAGAGGCUGGACCGUCCUCUGUCAGUUCCCUCGUUCCCCUGGAGUGGAGCUCUGAGCCCUGGGACCACAGAGUUGGCUGUUACACUGGAAACACUGAUCAGACCUUUGGACUCAGCUGAGAUAUUCACUGAGUGCAUAGUGUGUGCGCCAGGCCCUGUUCUGGGAGAUGACAGGCAAGGCCACUGACUUCGUGGAGCUCGCCCCCUAACGGUGAAGACAAACAGUGACUGACUAAGGAAAAAAAAAAAAGAACCCUGACGCUUGGCAUGGUCCAUGGCCCCCUCCACACAGCCAGUUGGCCAGGGAGCCGAGGCAGCCUGUAAACGCUCUGCCUGGAGCUGCUCGUAAACAAAAACAGAGUGAUCCACAAAAGGGCCCCAGAGUCUGGCACUGAAUGGAAUCCUACCUUCGGUCCAGCAACUGGAGAACGAAAGUCCACAUCCUGAUGACUGGUUCUGCACCUGGGGCUUAGAGCACAUAGCAAGGGGCUGAGAAGCAGCCACCACAUAAUCAGUGACUGCAAUUUCAUCACACAGUCCUCCAUGCCAGGCCCUGUGGGGAAACCAAGAUAUGUAAGGCAAGCCCUGCUCUUCGGAAUUUCUAAUCUCAGUACUGAAAAGUUAAUAACAUAAGGACGCAGCCUAUCUGUGGUAACACCAUGGCAUGAGCUGUGUGGAUUCCAAGUGCUGAAUGAAGCUGGAAGGGCAGAGGUCACAUCGGGCCAGUAUGUGCUUCUUGGAAGAGGUGGCAUUUGAGUCACUUGAAGAAUGAGCAGGAGAUGAGGGAUGGGAAGGAGAAGGCAUUCCUGGGAUGCCAUGAGCAAAGUGUCACAGUUUUGCAUUGAUCACUGUCAUCCAUGUAAGAGCAAGGACAGCUCAGGCAGGUGGUGGCCAUAGAAUGGAGGUGGACACAUAAAUAUGUGGAGAAAGAAGGAAGUCUUUGGGUUAAAAGGCCAAGACUUGACACCUGUGAGGACCUGGAAUCUAACCCUGUGUUUGUCUGUAAACCCAAGGCAAGUCACCCUUCUUCCGAGGCACAGUUUCUUCACCUGUAAAAUGAAGGGACUGGGCAAGACGGUUUCUAAAGUUCCUAGGGCCAGGUGCAGUGGCUCACGCCUAUCUUCACAAUACUUUGGGAGGCUGAUGCAGAAGGAUCACUGGAGCUCCCUCAAGACCAGCCUGGGGAACACAGGAAGAACCUUGUCUCUACAAAAAAUUAAAAAUAUUAGCUGGACAUGGUGGCAGGACCUGUGGUUCCAGCUACUCAGGAGGCUGAGUGGGGAGGAUAUUUUGAACCUGGGAGGUCGAGGCUGCAGUGAGCUGUGAUCACACCACUGCACUUCAGCCUGGGCAAUAAAUAAAUAAACAAGUAACAAAGUUCCUUACUACUUUAGAAUCAGGGUAGAAAGGAGUGAAGAUGACUUUAGGAUUUUGAAGAACAGGCCCAGCAGCAGGAGGUGAGGAGUCUGGAGAACAGCAGAUCUGGGGAGAGGCCUUCAGCUUUAGAUAAAAUGCGUGGACCCCUUCACGACUCUUCCUUCUGCUGGGGUCCUCCAGCGCUGCCACAGGCUGACCCGUUCUCAGACUUGCAUGGGACGUGUGUUGCCUCCCUACGUCUCUCCCUGAGAUGUGAGCCUGGCUACAUCAAGGCCAGAGCAAUGAGAGGCAGUGGCCCUUGCCCCAGCUUUUCCCCAAUGAGGAAGCACCAUCAUCACCAACACCAUCUUGCCACGAUAGCACUGGAGAGCCUGCAGGUGAAGGUGGGGAUCCCCUAAAUUCACAAUUAAGUUCCUUUACCCCAGGGAAAUGGGCACUGGAAACAGAAACAGGCUGUUAUUGAGAAAUCAAUUAACAUAUGGUCCCUGCAUACUUCUGUUUGAGGGCCCCAAUUAGCUCAUACCUGGUUCACAGGCAAACUUUCC
rnacentral:lncRNA from 1 species